rnacentral:misc_RNA from 1 species
GGGGGAUGGUAGGUUGACUUACUCAUCACGAAAUCUCCGAAACUAUAACAGCUACAAACUUGAAAUUUGGUAAGUAGGUUCCUUAUAAAGUGUAAACAUCCACUGAGAACGAAUUUUACGAAAUUCAAUCCCUAAGGGGAUAAAACGGGGGUUGGAAGUUUGUAUGAAAGUCCUAUGUUUUUGAAGUAAGAGACUUGAAAUUUAAAAUGUAUGCUUUAUAGAUGAUGAGAAGGUGUUCGAAUAAUGUAUCUUUAGAAAUCAACUCCCUUUUGGGGUUAAAACGG